AGGGAAAUGACUGAGGAAUCACCACUAAAGAAGAGGAGAAUGUCCAUCUUUUUGGUUGCAUCAUCUGAUUCAGACACAGAUGAGGAAGCUUAGUCCA